rnacentral:snRNA from 1 species
AUCACUUCUCAGCCUUUUGGCUAAGAUCAAGGGUAGUAUCUGUUCUUAUCAGUCUAAAAACAAGCACUGAGUUGAAAGAUGAGUUCAAACACC